rnacentral:pre_miRNA from 1 species
AAAAUACUCCCUCCGUCCGGAAAUACUUGUCCUAGAAAUGAAUGUAUCUAGACUUNNNUUAGUUAUAGAUACAUUCAUUAUAUCCAUUUCUAGGACAAGUAUUUCCGGACGGAGGGGGUACUAU